AACGAACGCUGGCGGCAUGCCUAACACAUGCAAGUCGAACGAUGGUCUUCGGAUCAUAGUGGCGCACGGGUGCGUAACGCGUGGGAAUCUGCCCUUGGGUUCGGAAUAACAGUUGGAAACGACUGCUAAUACCGGAUGAUGUCGAUAAGACCAAAGAUUUAUCGCCCGAGGAUGAGCCCGCGUCGGAUUGGCUAGUUGGUGGGGUAAAGGCCUACCAAGGCGACGAUCCGUAGCCGGUCUGAGAGGAUGAUCAGCCACACUGGGACUGAGACACGGCCCAGACUCCGACGCGAGGCAGCAGUAGGGAAUAUUAGAGACUGAGCGCAAGCCUGAUCCAGCAAUGUCGCGGAAGUGAGGAAGGCCUUAGUGUUGUAAAGCUCUUUGACCCGGGAAGAUAAUGACGGUACCGGGAGAAGAAGCCCCGGCUAACUCCGUG
rnacentral:rRNA from 1 species